rnacentral:rRNA from 1 species
CCUACGGGGUGCUGCAGUGGGGAAUAUUGGACAAUGGGCGAAAGCCUGAUCCAGCCAUGCCGCGUGUGUGAAGAAGGCCUUCGGGUUGUAAGGCACUUUCAGUGGGGAAGAAAGCCUUGGGGCUAAUACCCUCGAGGAAGGACAUCACCCACAGAAGAAGCACCGGCUAACUCCGUGCCAGCAGCCGCGGUAAUACGGAGGGUGCGAGCGUUAAUCGGAAUUACUGGGCGUAAAGCGCGCGUAGGCGGUCUGAUAAGCCGGUUGUGAAAGCCCCGGGCUCAACCUGGGAACGGCAUCCGGAACUGUCAGGCUAGAGUGCAGGAGAGGAAGGUAGAAUUCCCGGUGUAGCGGUGAAAUGCGUAGAGAUCGGGAGGAAUACCAGCGGCGAAGGCGGCCUUCUGGACUGACACUGACGCUGAGGUGCGAAAGCGUGGGUAGCAAACAGGAUUAGAUACCCCGGUAGUC